rnacentral:lncRNA from 1 species
GACAGGCUCUUUUGUUCUGGUUCCUAAUGGAGUGGCUUCGGCUGUUCUUUCUCCAUCCUGUAUCAUUUUACCAGGGGGCUGCAUUUCCCUUUGCACUUCUCUUCAAUUAUCUCUGCAUCAUGGAUUCAUUCUCCACUCGUGCCAGGUACCUCUUUCUCCUGGCUGGAGGAGGUGCCCUGGCCGUGGCUGCCAUGGGUUCCUACGCCGUGCUCGUCUUCACCCCUGCUGUCUGCGCCGUGGCUCUCCUCUGUUCCCUGGCCCCUCAGCAAGUCCACAGGUGGACCUUCUGCUUUCAGAUGAGCUGGCAGACCUUGUGUCACCUAGGUCUGCACUACACUGAGUAUUAUCUGCAU